rnacentral:rRNA from 1 species
GAUGAACGCUGGCGGCGCGCCUAAUACAUGCAAGUCGAGCGAAUGGAUUAAGAGCUUGCUCUUAUGAAGUUAGCGGCGGACGGGUGAGUAACACGUGGGUAACCUGCCCAUAAGACUGGGAUAACUCCGGGAAACCGGGGCUAAUACCGGAUAACAUUUUGAACCGCAUGGUUCGAAAUUGAAAGGCGGCUUCGGCUGUCACUUAUGGAUGGACCCGCGUCGCAUUAGCUAGUUGGUGAGGUAACGGCUCACCAAGGCAACGAUGCGUAGCCGACCUGGGAGGGUGAUCGGCAACACUGGGACUGGGACACGGCCCAGACUCCUACGGGAGGCAGCAGUAGGGAAUCUUCCGCAAUGGACGAAAGUCUGACGGAGCAACGCCGCGUGAGUGAUGAAGGCUUUCGGGUCGUAAAACUCUGUUGUUAGGGAAGAACAAGUGCUAGUUGAAUAAGCUGGCACCUUGACGGUACCUAACCAGAAAGCCACGGCUAACUACGUGCCAGCAGCCGCAGUAA